rnacentral:rRNA from 1 species
GACGAACGCUGGCGGCGUGCUUAACACAUGCAAGUCGAACGCUGAAGCUCAGCUUUUGUUGGGUGGAUGAGUGGCGAACGGGUGAGUAACACGUGAGUAACCUGCCUCCUUCUUUGGGAUAACGCCCGGAAACGGGUGCUAAUACUGGAUAUUCACUGGUCUUCGCAUGGGGGUUGGUGGAAAGGGUUUUUCUGGUGGGGGAUGGGCUCGCGGCCUAUCAGCUUGUUGGUGGGGUGAUGGCCUACCAAGGCUUUGACAGGUAGCCGGCCUGAGAGGGUGACCGGUCACAUUGGGACUGAGAUACGGCCCAGACUCCUACGGGAGGCAGCAGUGGGGAAUAUUGCACAAUGGGCGCAAGCCUGAUGCAGCGACGCCGCGUGAGGGAUGGGGGCCUUCGGGUUGUGAACCUCUUUCGCUCAUGGUCAAGCCGCAACAAUGGUUGUGGUGAGGGUAGUGGGUAAAGAAGCGCCGGCUAACUACGUG